rnacentral:rRNA from 1 species
UACGAAGGGGGCUAGCGUUGUUCGGAAUCACUGGGCGUAAAGGGCGCGUAGGCGGCGCGACAAGUCAGGCGUGAAAGCCCCGGGCUCAACCCGGGAAUUGCGCUUGAUACUGUCGUGCUUGAGGCCGGGAGAGGAUGGCGGAAUUCCCGAAGUAGAGGUGAAAUUCGUAGAUAUCGGGAGGAACACCGGUGGCGAAGGCGGGUCUCUGGGCAGUUACUGACGCUGAGGAGCGAAAGCGUGGGGAGCGAACAGG